CCUACGGGAGGCAGCAGUGAGGAAUAUUGGUCAAUGGGCGAGAGCCUGAACCAGCCAAGUCGCGUGAGGGAGUACUGCCCUAUGGGUUGUAAACCUCUUUUGUCGGGGAGCAAAAGCCGGACGUGUCCGGCUGUGAGAGUACCCGAAGUAAAAGCAUCGCCUAACUCCGUGCCAGCCGCCGCGGUAAUACGGAGGAUCCGAGCGUUAUCCGGAUUUAUUGGGUUUAACGGGAGCGUAGGUGGAUUGUUAAGUCAGUUGUGAAAGUCUGCGGCUCAACCGUAAUAUUGCAGUUGAAACUGGCAGUCUUGAGGACAGGAGAGGUGGGCGGAAUUCGUGGUGUAGCGGUGAAAUGCUUAGAUAUCACGAAGAACUCCGAUGGCGAAGGCAGCUCACUGGACUGCAACUGACACUGAGGCGCGAAAGUGUGGGUAGCAAACAGGAUUAGAUACCCCUGUAGUC
rnacentral:rRNA from 1 species